GUGUAAGUCCUGGCACACCUAGAUGCUGGAAGUAUAAAACACUCUGGGAGAUGAGAACGAGCUGAAAGCUCAGACAGCAAACCUCAGCCCAAAUGUUCUUCAGCUCUGACGCUUUGUAACUCUCCUCACCAAAUAUCAGCCAGCAGCUCCCUUCAGAACUGUAAGGCUUGGAACACUUACUAAGGAGCUGCAACACUUCACUUCAAAGGCCAAAUAUCCAGUUAGCUGUGAGUCACAUCCCAUGUAUUGAUCUCAUGCCAUCUGGAAGCACAAGCUCAAACAACCAUCACCAUCACCCGCUGUGGAACUUCAAUAAAGUCAAACUGUCAAGGGAUGAUUUUCAGGAAGAUGCAGUGUCUGCAAGAAUAUCGAAGAUCCUUCAGCUGUUUCUUCUGUGGCAUGAGUGAUCAGUUUUCAGGAUCUUUGCUUUAACUGUACCUGAAGGCAUCACAGCUAUAAACCUCUGCCUCGUCAUCUCUGCCCAAGACAGGCCUACAUUGCUCAUUAUAAAUUCUGCCAACAUUGUUAGAGAACAUAAUGGGGAAACAACCCUUUGAACCUGCUUCUGAGGCAAAAAAGUAACAUCUGCUCAUUUCUAGUGUCUUCUGGUAUCCUUUCAAUGAACCAAUUCAUUAUUAAUGAUAUUAUAUUUAUAGCCAAUUCAAUGGAAAUCAAUUCAUUAGGCUGAGAAGUUCUUCUGCAUGGCCAUCCUCGAAGCCUUAUCCUACUCAUUAAUUAAAGUCAGGUUUUGACACUAAUUACACUAGGAUCAUGCCCUAAAGAGAUUUAUGUAUAAGUCUUAGUCAUUACAGACUAUAGAUUAAACACAGAUUAAAAGAAGAAUGAAAAACCUCCAGAACUACCAAAGUUCUAUUUAAAUUCAAGUUUCAUCUGUACCAACUCCAGGAAACUUUUUGUCUGUUCCCUGUACACCAAUAGCUGCAGAAGUGGUUAAAAUGCCUUUUAGCCUGAAGAACCCCAUAAAGCUUUAAAAUCAGAAUCACUUGAACACGUCCUGAAGUGCAGCCUUCUUUGUGUUGAGAGGGAGCAGCUGCUCAGCUGUGCACUUCAACAGCAGCACACAGCAAUAUCAAUUCUGACUGACUGUAGCCACAAGGACAAAUUUAGGCAAAAUAAUGUGGCUGCCCAGAGUUCUGUUCCCCAUCGAAACUCUCACAAAGGCCUGCCAACAAAAAACUGAUCCCUAAUUUUCUUCUUUUUUCCUAUCCUUUCCUCCAAAGUAGAAGUGGGCUGCAACUGCAGUGUGUUGCAGCAUCAAUCCCCUC
rnacentral:lncRNA from 1 species